rnacentral:lncRNA from 1 species
CUUUUUCAAAAUGUGGCGGUGGCAGGGAAGGUUGUCUGCUCCAGAGGCUUCCCUAGAGUGAAGAGCUCUACUAUGUAUGCUUUAUGCGGCAGAAGGAGUGCUUUGGAGGAGUUUUUAAAUUUGUUUUUUUUUUAAAUCUUAUCGGUUUUAAUUGUAGCAAUGAUUCAAGAAACGUUAGUAGGUGCCCAUAACUUCGGUGGUGGAGAUCCAAAAGUGAACAAGACAGUGUUCUGGCUGCUAAAUUCUUCUUAACUGGUUAUGCCUGGAGACCUUCACUUGGUUCUGUGCCAGCACUGCCCAUGAACUUCAUAGACUGUGAUCUUUGCUAAGGCCUAAAUGAAUGAAGAGUCUGAUGCUUGGCUGUCUGAAACCUAUUCCUGAAAUGAAAACUGUGAGAUCACAUAUCCAGCAUUGUUUCUCAAAUAGAACUAGAAAUAAUAGCCUAAGAAAUGUACCAUCAGCUGGAACUGGAAAGAAUUGUGAUACUUGAAGAGACUUAGCACUUGGUGGACUAUGAUUUUCUAUCAAUCAAGUCAAGCACUGCUACCCAGUCUUCACUACAGAGUGCACCGGAAAGAAUGAUCCAGCAGUAAAAUGCUUUAUGAACUAUCCAUAUGGAAACCAUUGGCAAUAACACAUCCUGGCAUAUGGCUCUGAGAUGUAUAAAGGCACAGUGAAUUCCUGAAUCAUCCUUUGAUCUUCCACAAGACUCAGUAUCACUGAUUAACUACAAUUUGAAUAUAGUUCAUCACUGAAGGAAUGAGUGAGUGAAUGAGAAAGUGAGCAAAUGAGGCCGUGGAGGUCACUUAAACCAGGGAUCAGGUUCAUAGAGGUCACCCAACACAAGAUGGAAUAGUCAAGUAAACCAAGUUUACGGAGUUAGACAAAACUCCAUAAGGCAAGGUCAACAAAGGCAGCUCUGACGGACUGUUCAAUCCUGACUUUAGGCUGAUGCUGGUCUCUACUCUGUCUUCCUCCUGAGAGUAGGGGGCCUGGGGGCCCUUAAAUAAUUGCUGGUGUUAAAAGGGAGUUCAAUAUUUUCAAGCAUACCUAGCUUCUGUUUGAAGAGAGACAGGGUAGAAGAAUUACCUGGAAGGGAUAGGGUACACACUGCCACCUCCAUUGCUAUAACGUUUUACUCUUGUCAACAGACUUUCACAUAUAUGCUCUUGAGUCAAGCACAGGAAGAAAUAAAUUUUGCUGCUGAAUUUGAAGCAAUUGGCCAUGGAAGCCAGUCUUCAGGGGCAUUAAAACAAAUGCCUAACAAAAGUUUAUUAUAAGGCACUUGCUCCACCUGAACUCAUUUCAUCGUUAGAAAAAAAUCUAAGAAGUAAAAAUUAAUAUCCUUCCCUUUUCACAAGAUGAUGGAAUCAAGAGCCUUAACAAGUUUUAAUGGCCUGCCAAGGGUCAUUUGUCAACUUCUGAGUCUAAUGUCUAUGUUCUACUCAUGACAUGGCAGUUGUGGUAUAGAGGGAUCUGAUACAUCAUGAAAAUAUAAACCCACAGAUUUUGAUUCUAAGAAAGUGACCCAAGUUGUGCUCAUUAUGGUUUUGCUUAAAAUUAAAGUUUAGAUUGAAA